rnacentral:rRNA from 1 species
GAUGAACGCUGGCGGCGUGCCUAACACAUGCAAGUCUAAGGAGAACGUAUCUUCGGAUACUAGUAAACUGGCGAACGGGUGAGUAACACGUAGGAAACCUGCCCUGUAGAUUGGAAUAACCUUGUGAAAAUGGGGCUAAUACCACAUAAUAUUGUAAAAUCAAAGGAGGCUUCGGCUUUCGCUACAGGAUGGUCCUGCGUCUGAUUAGCUAGAUGGUAGAGUAAAUGUUUACCAUGGCAAUGAUCAGUAGCUGGUCUGAGAGGACGAUCAGCCACACUGGGACUGAGAUACGGCCCAGACUCCUACGGGAGGCAGCAGUGAGGAAUUUUGCGCAAUGGACGAAAGUCUGACGCAGCAACGCCGCGUGAUCGAAGAAGCUUUGCGGAGUGUAAAGAUCUGUCAUAAGGGAAGAAUAAUAUAUAUUCUAACACAAUAUAUAUCUGACGGUACCUUAUAAGAAAGCCCCGGCUAACUUCGUGCCAGCAGCCGCGGUAAUACGAGGGGGGCAAGCGUUGUCCGGAUUUAUUGGGCGUAAAGGGCUCGUAGGUGGGCUAGUAAGUCGAAAUUGAAAUCCAAUGGCUUAACCAUUGUCACGGUUUUGAUACUGCUAGUCUUGAGUGAGAUAGAGGUAAGUGGAA